UAUGGUAAUCCACUAUACCAAGACCGAACCCGAACCCGAUCCAAUUCACCAAGCGGCAGGAGGCUGCAAAGUAUGUGGUUACCAACCAAAAGCGCAACGAGGAGUGGUGAAAUCGUGCUUGGAUUGCUUUCUCAUCAACCGCUUCCACAGGCUCCUCCGCUUCGACUACGGCGUCUCGCCCGUCCACUUUUGGGUCAAAAACAUCGGAACAUGUAGCCUUGACGUAUGCGACCCCCCAGAUCUGGUCAUCCAUCGAGCCACUCGGAUGCUGGUCGAACACAACGAUAACAGAGGAGGCAAGUUCGGCCAAUACGAUAUUCUCAACAACAACUGCGAGUCUUUCGCAGUCUACUGCAAGACUGGGAUUCGUUCAAGCGCCCAAGCUCAAUCUUUGAAGGCCAAAUUUAUGAUUUUUUUCAAAAAUAUCACCGAGAAGCCUCUGACUUUAGAAAAUUUGAUUAGCACUUUUGCUGAAAUGGUCUUUAGUUAUAAGAUUGAAGUGCUUCGACAACAUGCUAUAAAGGAGUUUGAGCAGCAUCGACGAAGCAACGAUGUUCCUAUGAAUUAUCAUGAUAUUAUUCAAGUCGAUAAGAUCCUCCCUUCGGCAUACCAUGCCCAGGAAUGGUGAAUAUGACUUGUGAAUUAUCAAAGUGAUCAGCAAUUGACGAUUCAAUUUUAUAAAUUCUUUGCAAAGGUCUGCGACGAAGCACUGUUUGGACCAGAUCAAUAUGCUGAAAGAAUGCAUCGUCAAGAACUACUACAAGAGCAGCAACUUGAGAUUCUAAAGCUUAUGCGCAAGUUGGACCUUAAUGAUCAAUCUUACAAUUCUCGAGGUCAUUGGCAUGUUUUACAUAGUUUAGUAGUGACUUUAUCAUAAUCCAAAUUUAAUUUUAAGUUCUCUAUUAUGUUCUCUAAAGUUGCAUCAGCAGAUGAAAAAUGCUGACUUUGAUUUUGAGGUAUCAGUUUUGUCAGAAGAGCAGAUUCAAGAUAUUGUUUCGCAGAGGAUUUCGCCAUUAUACAAGUCAAGGAUACAAUGGUACAUAUUUCGAAGAGUUCAAGGAGUGACACUGACACAUUACAUGGUAAUAGAAUCAACGCAAUAUAAAGCAUUUAAGUUUUGGAUUAUAUGGGGUUAAUUUCAGUUGCUCUCCUUGGAUUCCAAAAUAGAGCCAAGACAUUUAACUAACAUAUGUUAUAAUAUAAAGGAAGGAAUGGUUUUUGUGACACUGAUAAUUGUGAAAGGCAACUUGUUUAGUCAUCAAUCUCAAUUAAGUUUUGGACUAUAUGGGGUUAAUUUCAUAACCAUCACUUUUUUUUUAAAUGAUCACCACCGAAUUUAAAAUUAAAGGUUUGUACAGUUCACUAGUUGUUGAAAAAGGGAAAAAUAUCAGUAAUAUUAUAUUAUUGAUUAUAAUAUCUUUGUAGAUAUUUUGUACAUUUACUCGGUAUCUUCCUUUAGGGAAACCGAAUAGUUUGUUUCCUAUUUAUUUUUCUUUCCAGAUUCUUAGGUUUAGUGUUGACCUAGAAUAUUUGAUAGUUAAUAGCAGAUUUGUACAAAUUUGUUUAUAGCUUGUACCAACCUAAUUAAAGGCUCUUUUCUCUAUCAAUAAUAUACAAAAAAUUACCCUAAUUCACAUGGUAUCUAAGCCACCCUAAAACAACCAUUGUACCUCAUUUUUUUUUCACUACCAAAUCCUUUUUUCAUUCCAGCAGUUGGCCAUGUCUGAAGAAUCAUCUGAAACUACUCUCAUUCCUCCAAACCCACCUGCCACAAAGAACACCACUCAUUUAUCCAAUACUGAUUCCCACCUAGUUCAAAUCACCACUAUUUGUCUAAAUGGGGAUAAUUUUUUACGUUGGUCGUAGUCUGUUCGGAUGUACAUCAGGGGGAGGGGAAAGAUUGGGUACCUGACAGGAGAAACGAAGAAACUAGCACCUGAGGAUCCGCCUUAUUCGACCUGGGACGUAGAAAACUCGAUGGUGAUGACUUGGCUCGUGAAUGCAAUGGAUGAGGAUAUUAGUUCGAACUACAUGUGCUACUCCAUGACUAUGGAUCUUUGGGACAAUGUGAAUGAGAUGUACUCUGACUUAGGGAAUCAAUCCCAAGUGUAUGAAUUGAUUUUGAAGCUUGGUGAAAUUCGAAAUGGGGACAAUUCUGUUACCAGGUAUUUUAAUUCUUUGAAACGUCUUUGGCAAGACUUGUAUCUCUUUAAUGACUAUGAAUGGAAAUCUACUGAUGGUGCUGCACACAACAAGAAAACAAUGGAGGCAUAUCGUAUCUAUAAAUUUCUUGCAGGACUUAAUGUUGAAUUUGAUGAGGUUCGAGGUCGGAUUAUUGGUAGGACUCCUCUACCCUCAAUUGGUGAGGUGUUUGCUGAGGUUCGAAGGGAAGAGAGUCGUUGUCAUGUAAUACUUGGAAAAAAUCCUAUGGGAAACAUUGAAAAUUCUGCCCUUGUUGGGAUUGAUGCCACAACCCAUAAAGUUGCUGGUUAUCCACCGAAAACUGAGGAGAAACCACGAGUAUGGUGUGAUUUUUGCAACAAACCACGCCAUACACAUGAAACCUAUUGGAGGAUUCAUGGCAAACCACCGAAUUGGAAAAUCAGUAGAUCUGGUGAUUGAAACAACUGCUCCAUCCCCAUUGCAAAUGAAGCUGAGACAAGUCCUUUCAACAAGGAGCAGA